rnacentral:rRNA from 1 species
CCUACGGGCGGCAGCAGUGAGGAAUAUUGGUCAAUGGGCGCUAGUCUGAACCAGCCAAGCAGCGUGAAGGAUGACUGCCCUAUGGGUUGUAAACUUCUUUUAUAUGGGAAUAAAGUGCAGUAUGUAUACUGCUUUGCAUGUACCUUAUGAAUAAGGAUCGGCUAACUCCGUGCCAGCAGCCGCGGUAAUACGGAGGAUCCGAGCGUUAUCCGGAUUUAUUGGGUUUAAAGGGAGCAUAGGCGGGUUGUUAAGUCAGUUGUGAAAGUUUGCGGCUCAACCUUAGAAUUGCAUUUGAUACUGGCAUCCUUGAGUACAGUAGAGGUAGGCGGAAUGCGUGGUGUAGCGGUGAAAUGCUUAGAGAUCACAAAGAACUCCGAUUGCGAAGGCAGCCUGCCGAACUGUAACUGACGCUGAUGCUCGAAAGUGUGGGUAUCAAACAGGAUUAGAUACCCGAGUAGUC